GGCAAUCUCCCUGUAAGCAGGAAUCUUCUGAGUGGCUGAGAGCUACAGGUUCCUAAUCAGAGGAAAGGCUGUCCCAGCCAAAUCAGAGCUGGACUCCUGAUUGCAUCCUGAUAGGGAAGAUUACUCAUCCAGUGGAAAAGAGCUACUGUUUUAUUGAGGGCUUUAGUAUAUGUUAGGUGAACAUUUCUAGGUGCUCAGCAGUGCUUCAGUUCUGCUUUUUGGAGCCCAGGAGCUGGGUUUGCCUGACUCUGAGGAACGUUACCUGCUUUUCUAAUGAGGCUGAACAAGGCCAAGUUCGAUAUAAUCCCAGAUAACUCAUCUAAGAAGGAAAAAACAACUGCUUCAACUUUGUGCCACAUCUUGACAAGCCUUAAUCUAAUAUGGGAAAAAAAGAGAAGUGAAAUAACCAGACUAUCAUAGAAUGGCUUGAGUUCGAAGAGACCCUUGAAGGCCAUCUGUUCCCAUUCCCUGCACCGAGAAGAGACAACCAAAGCUCCAUCAGUGCUCGGAGCCCUGUCCAGCCUGACCUUGGCUGUCUGCAGGGAUGGGACACCACCACCUCUCUGGGCAGCUGUGAUAUCCUUAGCACAGUGUCCAUAUGGCUGAUA
ensembl:lncRNA